UGAAAUGUCUGUGACACCAAGGAGAGUGA
rnacentral:piRNA from 1 species